rnacentral:rRNA from 1 species
UGUAACCUACCUUCUUCAGGGGGAUAGCCUCUCGAAAGAGAGAUUAAGACCGCAUAACAUUGAGCUGCAGCAUUGCAAUUCAAUCAAAUAUUUAUAGGAAGAAGAUGGGCAUGCGGAACAUUAGCUAGUUGGUAAGGUAAUGGCUUACCAAGGCUACGAUGUUUAGGGGAUCUGAGAGGAUGGCCCCCCACACUGGUACUGAGACACGGACCAG